CAGUGCCCCCAGCAGACCUACAACUUCCAGAUGCUGAGAGAAAAGCCCUUGAUUCAGGCUGAAUGCACAGAUGAUAUUCACGAAAAUGCAGAUGGCACAUUAGAGAACUUUGCAAAAGGAAAUGAGCUUACCGUACAGUGGAAGAGAUUGUGUUUGCACACAUCUCUCAAGUGUUAAGGUUCUCUUUCUGCGGUUUCAGUACCCCCGCAUCAACCAUGGUCCAAAAAUAUUAAAUGGAA